UAAUACGGAGGGUGCAAGCGUUAAUCGGAAUUACUGGGCGUAAAGCGCACGCAGGCGGUUUGUUAAGUCAGAUGUGAAAUCCCCGGGCUCAACCUGGGAACUGCAUUUGAAACUGGCAAGCUAGAGUCUCGUAGAGGGGGGUAGAAUUCCAGGUGUAGCGGUGAAAUGCGUAGAGAUCUGGAGGAAUACCGGUGGCGAAGGCGGCCCCCUGGACAAAGACUGACGCUCAGGUGCGAAAGCGUGGGGAGCAAACAGGAUUAGAUACCCUGGUAGUCCACGCCGUAAACGAUGUCGAUUUGGAGGUUGUGCCCUUGAGGCGUGGCUUCCGGAGCUAACGCGUUAAAUCGACCGCCUGGGGAGUACGGCCGCAAGGUUA
rnacentral:rRNA from 1 species